UACAGAGGGUGCAAGCGUUAUUCGGAAUUAUUGGGCGUAAAGAGCUCGUAGGCGGUCUGUCGCGUCGGAUGUGAAAACUCGGGGCUCAACCCCGAGCCUGCAUUCGAUACGGGCAGACUAGAGUUCGGUAGGGGAGACUGGAAUUCCUGGUGUAGCGGUGAAAUGCGCAGAUAUCAGGAGGAACACCGGUGGCGAAGGCGGGUCUCUGGGCCGAUACUGACGCUGAGGAGCGAAAGCGUGGGGAGCGAACAGG
rnacentral:rRNA from 1 species